AGAGUUUGAUCAUGGCUCAGGACGAACGCUGGCGGCGUGCUUAACACAUGCAAGUCGAACGGGUGGUAGCAAUACCACUAGUGGCGCACGGGUGCGUAACGCGUAACCAACCUACCCAGUUCAGGGGGAUAGCCCGCCGAAAGGCGGAUUAAUACCGCAUAAGACUAGAGCGUGGCAUCACGUAGUAGUUAAAGAUUCAUCGGAAUUGGAUGGGGUUGCGUAGCAUUAGCUAGAUGGCGGGGUAACGGCCCACCAUGGCGACGAUGCUUAGGGGACCUGAGAGGGUGAUCCCCCACACUGGCACUGAGAUACGGGCCAGACUCCUACGGGAGGCAGCAGUAGGGAAUAUUGGGCAAUGGGCGAGAGCCUGACCCAGCCAUGCCGCGUGCCGGAUGAAGGCCUUCUGGGUUGUAAACGGCUUUUCUCAGGGAAGAAAAAGAGGAUGCGUCCUACACUGACGGUACCUGAGGAAUAAGCACCGGCUAACUCCGUGCCAGCAGCCGCGGUAAUACGGAGGGUGCAAGCGUUGUCCGGAUUUAUUGGGUUUAAAGGGUGCGUAGGUGGCCUUGUAAGUCCGUGGUGAAAGCCUCUUGCUCAACAAGAGAACUGCCAUGGAUACUGCCGGGCUUGAGUGUAGACGAGGGUGGCGGAAUAGAGGCUGUAGCGGUGAAAUGCAUAGAUAGCCUCUAGAACCCCGAUUGCGUAGGCAGCUGCCUAGACUACAACUGACACUGAGGCACGAAAGCGUGGGGAGCGAACAGGAUUAGAUACCCUAGUAGUCC
rnacentral:rRNA from 1 species